GGGCAGGAUUGGGAGCAGCGGACUCGGGCUCAGGACUGCGGCCAUGAUCGUUGUUCCCUUGUUCCCUCUACAGGGUCCCUCCCACAUGUGCCCGUGUGAAUGUGGGUGCACUGCCUGGGGCGGCUGAUGUGCUCCAGGGAUUCGAUGCUGCAGAUGCAUCAGCACAAAGCGUGGGGGUGGGGAUGGGACGAGGCUGCAGCUGGGGAGACCAGAGACCAACAACACCCAGCACAGGUUUCCACGGGGUGGGCAGCCCCAUUUCCUGACAGUAGAAACAGACUGGAGGUGGGUGCCAAGCAGAGGGCACUGCAGGGUGUGCCCAGGCCUGGAGGGUCACAGAGCCACAGGCACCUCACAACAGAGACCCUGAGGGCCAGGAGCUCACUCAGGUAAUGGAUUUCAGCAGAUCUUUCUCUCCUGAGUAAAUCAGGUACAAAAAAAUUAAGAUCCUGCCACCAGAAAAGACAAACAAGAACGUUGAUCUCCUCAGCUGAGCCCUUCUGUCCCAGGAAGCAGAAUUCUCUGAGCCCAGGCCCAGGUGAGGGUGGGGUGAGGAGAGGAGCUCAGGGUGUAGAUUUGCAUGGAGGCCCCGCCCUCCUCUGAGGCAGAGGGGAUAAGACAGGGCUGGGGGCAGGCCCAGUGCUGGGAUCUCAGGAGGCAGCGCUCUCAGGACGUCUCCACCAUGGCCUGGGCUCUGCUCCUCCUCACCCUCCUCACUCAGGGCACAGGGUCCUGGGCUCAGGCUGCCCUGACUCAGCCUCCCUCUGUGUCCGGGUCUCCUGGACAGUCGGUCACCAUCUCCUGCACUGGAACCAGCAGUGACAUCGGUGGUUAUAACUAUGUCUCCUGGUACCAACAGCACCCAGGCAAAGCCCCCAAACUCAUGAUUUAUGAGGUCAGUAAGCGGCCCUCAGGGGUCUCUGAUCGCUUCUCUGGCUCCAAGUCUGGCAACACGGCCUCCCUGACCAUCUCUGGGCUCCAGGCUGAGGACGAGGCUGAUUAUUACUGUAGCUCAUAUGCAGGCAGCAACACUUUCCACAGUGGUCCAAGUUCAUGGGGAACUGAGACCAAAACCUGCCCUGGGCUCUCAGGCUUCCUCCUUGCUCUGAAGAUGCUUCCUCACCCCGUGCAAGGGGCCUCCUGCAGCAUGGCCUUGAGAAUUCUUCUUUCUCUGCUCCUCUCUUUUCCCGCCACAAAAUCCAACAGGAAACCUGCUCUGUGGUUUCUCAUCCAGCACAGGGACAGCUUCCUGAUGCUUGUGUACUGUGGUCCCUGAAUGUGCAACUCUUCCUAGCUCUUCAAAUGCAGGGACAGUGAGAAGGAGCUGCCCGAUUGCUGCAGUCACUGCUUUUUUUCAGGGGUGCCUUCACCAUAAAUGCAUCACCAUCUCCCACACUGUGGGUAAAAUUUUAGCCAACUACAUUCUAAUGGUUAUCGCCACAACCUUGAUCUUAAAUAACAGUGCAGCGAACAUCCGUAUGCAGCCUCCUUUGAGUUCCUGUGUGAAUAUGACCAUAGGGUUCAUUUCUGAAAGUGAAAUUGCGGCUCAGAAAGAUGUGUGUUUACUUUCACCCACUGUUGUCAGAGUCCCCUCCAGAGGGGUUCUACCAAUUUACAAUGCCAGCCAGAAGUACUUGCUCAGAGUAUAUUAUUGAAAGUGUAAAUUUUUGCCAACCUACCAGACUGAAAAACGUUAUCUUGUUACAGUUUUAUGUUUGAGUCUCCCAUUCUGCUUAAGGUUGGGCCUUUUCACAAAUAGUCCAGUAUUCUUUAUUUUUUUAGGAUUUGGUAAACUUUUUCUUGAUAUCCAGUUAAGAAGAAUUUAGUUUUCGUGGUCAGGCACGAUGGCUCAUGCCUGUAAUCCCAGCAGUCUGG